ACAAGGUAAAAAAUAAUAACAUAAUUAAAUUAAUAAUAUUGACAAAAAUAAAUCAUGGAUAAUAAAAAAAUAGAUAGUAAAAAACGUCAUUUGUCACCAGAAAAACAACAAAUGUAUUAUAAACAAUUAAAUUAUCCACGUAGUUGGAAAAAUUUUGAUCGUCCAAGUGCAACAGUAUCAAUAACAGUUAAUAAAUUAUUUACAAAAUAUUAUGAAUUAAUAAUUGAUAAUGAUAAUUAUAAAUUACCAUUAUGUGAUAAUAUGUUUAUUGAAGAACCAUGGGAAAUAAAUGAUUUAAAAUUAAUAAAAAAAAAUUUAAAUGAAAUGAAAAGUCGUUUAAAUGAUUAUAAUUUAAUGGAAUGGCAAUAUCAUACACGUAAACGUAAUCAAGCUGGUGAUGUACAAUGGCGUUUAAGACGUGAUAUAUCACCAGAAUUUUUAACACAAGCAUGGUGUAAAUUUUAUGAAAAUGUAUCAUCAUUUCCAUUAGUACCAGAUGUAUCAAUAAGUAAUGAAAAAUUUAAAUCAUUACAUUUAUGUGAAGCACCAGGUGCAUUUAUUGCAUCAUUAAAUCAUUGGUUAAAAUUAAAUUCACCAAAUAUAAAAUGGAAUUGGAUUGGUACAACAUUAAAUCCUCAUUAUGAGGGUAAUUCAUUAUCAACAAUGAUUAAAGAUGAUCGUUUUAUAUUACAUACAAUGAAUAAUUGGUAUUUUGGUGUUGAUAAUACUGGUGAUUUAAUGAAAUUAAAUAAUUUAGAUGGUCUUAUUGAACGUGUUGGUGAUGAUGUUAUGUUAGUAACAGCUGAUGGUAGUAUUAAUUGUAUGGAUUCACCAGAUGAACAAGAAUUAGUUGUAUCACAUUUACAUUAUUGUGAAACAAUUGCUGCACUUAAUAUUCUAAAUAUUGGUGGUAGUUAUUUAUUAAAACUAUUUACAAUAUUUGAACAUCAAACAAUAUGUUUAAUAUAUUUAUUAUCAUGUACAUUUAAACGUAUUAUAUUUAAUAAACCAGUUACAAGUAAAGAAGGUAAUUCAGAAAUAUAUCUUAUAUGUCUUGAUUUUAAAGGACAAAAUUUUAUAUCAUUGUAUAUUAAUAAAUUACGUUAUUAUUAUGAAAAACAAUCAAAAUUUACAAUGUUUAGAUUACAAGAUAUACCAAAUAGCUUUUUACAACAAUUAAUACAAAUAUCAGAAUUUUUUAAAUCACAUCAAUGUGAAGUUAUAUCAAAUAAUAUUAGAACAUUUAAAACAAAUGAUAAUGAUUGGGAAAUUAAAAAAAUAAGACGUUCUGUUGCUGAUAAUUUUAUACGUAUAUAUAAAUUAAAUAAAUUAGAUAAUGAAAAACAAAUUAUUGGUAAUAAUGUUGCACAAUCACAUUGUGAAACAUUAGAUUCAAAAUUUUCACAUGAAUCAUAUAAUAAUAGAAAAAAAAAAGAAUAUAUAUCACCAAUUCAACGUUUGACAAUUAUUUCUGAAGAAUUACAUUCAAUUAUAACAUCUGAUGAAAUACAAUUUAAUUAUCAAUUUACUGAUAAGCUAGAAGAUAUUAAAAUAACACUUGGAUUGUCAUAUGAAAUAAUACAAAGCUCAAGAUUUUGUAUAACAAAACUAUUAAAAGCAUUUAAUUCAACAUUUGAAAUACAAAAAGAACUAUCAAUUGUCAUUGAUUAUCCCUUCAUUGAACAAACAAAUAAAUACAUUGAAGAAAAUAAAAAUGAUGAUACUAAAUUUUUACUAUUUCAAUAUACAACAAUGGCUAAUAAUAAUUUGAUAAUUAAAAAUUUAUAUGAUACAUUAAAGACAUUAAAAAAAAAUAAUGAACUUAUUUUAAUUGGCUAUUCAUUGUUGAGUCAAUUUAAUGUUGGAUUGUUGUAUUUACUUGCUCAUACAUUUGAUAAUAUUAUCAUGAAAACAAAUGAUUAUUUAGGAUGUAUUAUUAAAUUGUCCAAUUUUAAUAAUAAUGAAUAUAUUAUUGAUUAUUUUAAAAUUAUAUUUGAUACAUCAAAUAGCAUUGAACAAAAUAAACAGACUAUUUUGUCUGUUGUACCAAUUAAAGAAUUAUGUGACUGCAAGAUGUAUCACAGUCUAAUGCAGAUUAAUCACUGGAUAAUUAAAAAAUUCAUUGAACAUAAUUUAAUACAUGCAAAAAAAUUGUGGAACAAUGAAUGGAAUAAAUUUAUUAAAAUUUAUUAGUAAUUAUUGUACGUCGACAGUUACACCAAAAGUUUGCAUUGUUGGAUCUGGACCAGCUGGAUUUUAUGCAGCUCAACAAUUAUUAAAAUCAUCGAGUGAUGUUCAUGUUGAUAUUUAUGAACGACUUCCAGUUCCAUAUGGACUUGUUCGUUUUGGUGUUGCUCCAGAUCAUCCAGAUGUUAAAAAUGUUAUAAAUACAUUC
rnacentral:misc_RNA from 1 species